rnacentral:rRNA from 1 species
UGGGGAAUAUUGCACAAUGGGGGAAACCCUGAUGCAGCGACGCCGCGUGAGCGAAGAAGGUUUUCGAAUCGUAAAGCUCUGUCCUAGGAGAAGAUAAUGACGGUAUCAUAGGAGGAAGCCCCGGCUAAAUACGUGCCAGCAGCCGCGGUAAUACGUAUGGGGCGAGCGUUGUCCGGAAUUAUUGGGCGUAAAGGGUACGUAGGCGGUCUAUUAAGUCAGGUGUGAAAGCGUGAGGCUUAACCUCAUUAAGCACUUGAAACGGAUAGACUUGAGUGAAAGAGAGGAAAGUGGAAUUCCUAGUGUCGCGGUGAAAUGCGUAGAUAUUAGGAGGAAUACCGGUGGCGAAGGCGACUUUCUGGACUUUUACUGACGCUCAGGUACGAAAGCGUGGGGAGCAAACAGG